rnacentral:rRNA from 1 species
GGCAGAGAUGCCUUGGUGCCUUCGGGAACGCUGAGACAGGUGCUGCAUGGCUGUCGUCAGCUCGUGUUGUGAAAUGUUGGGUUAAGUCCCGNAACGAGCGCAACCCUUAUCCUUUGUUGCCAGCGAUUCGGUCGGGAACUCAAAGGAGACUGCCGGUGAUAAACCGGAGGAAGGUGGGGAUGACGUCAAGUCAUCAUGGCCCUUACGAGUAGGGCUACACACGUGCUACAAUGGCGCAUACAAAGAGAAGCGACCUCGCGAGAGCAAGCGGACCUCAUAAAGUGCGUCGUAGUCCGGAUCGGAGUCUGCAACUCGACUCCGUGAAGUCGGAAUCGCUAGUAAUCGUGGAUCAGAAUGCCACGGUGAAUACGUUCCCGGGCCUUGUACACACCGCCCGUCACACCAUGGGAGUGGGUUGCAAAAGAAGUAGGUAGCUUAACCUUCGGGAGGGCGCUUACCACUUUGUGAUUCAUGACUGGGGUGAAGUCGUAACAAGGUAAGCGUAGCGAG